rnacentral:rRNA from 1 species
AUUGAACGCUGGCGGCAUGCCUUACACUUGCAAGUCGAACGGCAGCACGGGUGCUUGCACCUGGUGGCGAGUGGCGAACGGGUGAGUAAUACAUCGGAACGUACCUUAUCGUGGGGGAUAACGCAGCGAAAGCUGUGCUAAUACCGCAUAAGCCCUGAGGGGGAAAGCGGGGGAUCGAAAGACCUCGCGCGAUUAGAGCGGCCGAUGCCUGAUUAGCUUGUUGGUGGGGUAAAAGCCCACCAAGGCGACGAUCAGUAGCUGGUCUGAGAGGACGAUCAGCCACGCUGGGACUGAGACACGGCCCAGACUCCUACGGGAGGCAGCAGUGGGGAAUUUUGGACAAUGGGGGCAACCCUGAUCCAGCAAUGCCGCGUGAGUGAAGAAGGCCUUCGGGUUGUAAAGCUCUUUUGUCAGGGAAGAAACACCGGCUCUAACACAGUCCGGGAAUGACGGUACCUGAAGAAUAAGCACCGGCUAACUACGUGCCAGCCGCCGCGGUAA